CUUGGUCAUUUAGAGGAAGUAAAAGUCGUAACAAGGUUUCCGUAGGUGAACCUGCGGAAGGAUCAUUAUCGAGUGUUGGCCCCCCUCGUAAAAAAAGGGGGGUUACCUCCCGUCCUUUGCUGGGGGCCCCCUCUUUUAAUUUUGGGAGGGGGCUUUUUCAGAACCCCUUCUGCUUCGGCGGGGUCAACCCCCCUGCCGGAACACCCUCAAAAAUUCUUUUAAUUGUUCAGUCCGAGGAAUUUUAAAAAAUGAUACAAAACUUUCAACAACGGAUCUCUUGGUUCUGGCAUCGAUGAAGAACGCAGCGAAAUGCGAUAAGUAAUGUGAAUUGCAGAAUUCAGUGAAUCAUCGAAUCUUUGAACGCAUAUUGCGCCCCUUGGUAUUCCGGGGGGCACACCUGUUCGAGCGCCAUUUACAUCUCCUCAAGCAUUGCUUGGUGUUGGGUUAGGUCCUUAAGGGGACCCACCCGUAACUUGUAGGUGGUCAUCGGUGACCCCCCCUAGCGUAGCAGGCUAAACGCACCCGCUCGGGGGUGGCCUCUAUGGCCCGCCUAAAACCUUUAUAUCCAAAAGGUUUGGCCUCGGAUCAGGUGGGGAUACCCGCUGAACUUAAGCAUAUCAAUAAGCGGAGGA
rnacentral:rRNA from 1 species